rnacentral:lncRNA from 1 species
GUGUUAAACAUACCUGAGACCCUGCAAACCUUUGCUGUCUGUCUAGCAAUCUGCAUUAUGCACAGGUAGGUUUGGUUCCUGUGGAGUUGGUUACUUUUUUCUUGUAUACUAGUUAUAAAAAUGAACAGCUCCAGUCCAUUCUUAAAUGUUGAUGAUAUAAGUUUUUGACUAAUAGAGCAGGUGAGAGAGAAGUGGAUCUGCUCCAUCUCUGAAUUUUUGGUUUCUCACAGGGUUUCUACUUUGUUUCUUUGCAGCUGGAAAUUAGUUUGGAUAGAAGUAGAGCUGAUGCUAAUGUAUAAACCUUAAAGAUGUGCUUUGCCGCCAAAAUGUAUCUCUGCUAAGGGAACAUAUAGGUGGUGGUGGUUGUUUUCUUGUAUUGUUUGGCAAUAAGAAAGGGAACUUCGGGAAAAGUUUAAAAAGAGGAAGAGAACUGGAGAAUUUAUUUGAUGCUAUUACCUUGUUAUCCAAUGUAGCCAUAUUUCUUGAAUUUUAUAUUAGCAAAGUUUACUUGAUGGAUUAACAUCACGUUGCUUUUUCUGAAAGAGCAAAAAGUUUUGUUUUGUUUGUCCUGUAGGCCUGCCUUCUGCUGAGUUGGACAGUCAGAUGGAGAGUUCAAAAUUGCAGUUGCCAGAAGAAAUGAGCAGUAAAGCAUGUAAGAAAAAGGGGCUCUUGAAGAGAAUGUCUGCCACCUCAUCUGACUUCUCAUCACUUUGCAGAGCCCCUGAAGAUCUCAGCUUUACGAAUGUAACACCAGUGAGGUACUGUGAGUAAGAUCAUUGCACAGAAGACUGAGAAUUAGCAGAUGAAGGUUAGAGGUGAAGGCAAGAGCACCAGAGAGCCCCUGCAUUAAUGCUGUUGCUUGGGAAAACUCUAGUAAUGCUGAGCAGGUAAGUACCAGCCAGUUAUUCCUAAAGUAGCUGAUGAGGAAAGGCAGGUUGUCCCAAAUGCUAGAGGACUGCCAGUUGUGUAUUUGUAGUCCUUCCUCAACAGAGAGAGCAUGAGGCUGCAGUGUGAUGGUGUCCUGGGUAAUGCUUUGAGACCCUUGGGUAGUCCAUUUGAAAUGGAAUAAUUUAAUAUUCAAUGAUAAAGGCUGGGAAAUUGCUUUUCAGUGCUGCUAUUAGCUCAGUGUUUGUUGUGAUCAGGUGGUUAUCACAACAUUUAAUCACAGCAAAACUAACAGAAAUAAAAUACUUUUCUGAAAUAAACA